rnacentral:lncRNA from 1 species
UGACACUGGUGAUGAGACUCUGCACAUUAAAACAGCAUGGAGAGAGGAGAGGAAUGACGGUGACCAGUCAGAGGCAUUCCAUUCUACCAGUCAGAAAUGCAGAAGAGCAUUGCACAAUUCAAACGGCAAAGUUAAAAAUAUGGCAAUCCGAAGAGAAUUGGCCGACGGAGUGGAGUGAGUCCUGGGAGCUGUUUUGGAUCAACUCUCUAAGAAGGUCAGGUGGUGAAGAACCGGGUGAAAACAUCGCUGAGCAUUGAUCUGAGAUGGGUAAAGUAUUGCUGAUGGGGUGAAGUAAGUGGGGUGGGCAUGGUGGUGAGGGAACAGUACUUCCUGAGCCCCACAAGCGAUGCAGGUUUAACGGCCUCUGGGGCCAUACCCUGAGUGGCCUGGAGAAGCCAGUUGGCUCAGGCUCCACCCACGGGUGCUUGUUUGUCCUCCAGUUGUUGGCUGUUUGUUCAUUCCACAAAUAGUUAUUCCACCUACUGAAUGAGGCACUGUCACAGAUUCUGGGAGAAGAGGUGAGCAAAAAGUAGGCCAAAAUCCUGCUCUCAUGGAGCUUAUAUU